GUGUUCCCUUCAGCAGCACAGAUACUCAAAUUGGAACCAUAGGAGUUAAGAUUAGCAUGACCCCUGCACAAGGAUGACCAGUAUCACUUGGCAACACUGGAGCUGAAA
rnacentral:snRNA from 1 species